rnacentral:rRNA from 1 species
GGCGAACGCUGGCGGCGUGCCUAAUACAUGCAAGUUGAGCGCUGAAGGUUGGUACUUGUACCGACUGGAUGAGCAGCGAACGGGUGAGUAACGCGUGGGGAAUCUGCCUUUGAGCGGGGGACAACAUUUGGAAACGAAUGCUAAUACCGCAUAAAAACUUUAAACACAAGUUUUAAGUUUGAAAGAUGCAAUUGCAUCACUCAAAGAUGAUCCCGCGUUGUAUUAGCUAGUUGGUGAGGUAAAGGCUCACCAAGGCGAUGAUACAUAGCCGACCUGAGAGGGUGAUCGGCCACAUUGGGACUGAGACACGGCCCAAACUCCUACGGGAGGCAGCAGUAGGGAAUCUUCGGCAAUGGACGAAAGUCUGACCGAGCAACGCCGCGUGAGUGAAGAAGGGUUUCGGAUCGUAAAACUCUGUUGGUAGAGAAGAACGUUGGUGAGAGUGGAAAGCUCAUCAAGUGACGGUAACUACCCAGAAAGGGACGGCUAACUACGUG